rnacentral:rRNA from 1 species
AUUGAACGCUGGCGGCAUGCCUUACACAUGCAAGUCGAACGGUAGCAGGUCUUCGGAUGCUGACGAGUGGCGAACGGGUGAGUAAUACAUCGGAACGUGCCUAGUAGUGGGGGAUAACUACUCGAAAGAGUGGCUAAUACCGCAUGAGAUCUACGGAUGAAAGCAGGGGAUCACAAGACCUUGUGCUACUAGAGCGGCCGAUGGCAGAGUAGGUAGGUGGUGGGAUAAAAGCUUACCAAGCCGACGAUCUGGAGCUGGUCUGAGAGGACGAUCAGCCACACUUGGACUGAGACACGGCCCAGACUCCUACGGGAGGCAGCAGUGGGGAAUGUUGGACAAUGGGCGAAAGCCUGAUCCAGCAAUGCCGCGUGCAGGAUGAAGGCCUUCGGGUUGUAAACUGCUUUUGUACGGAACGAAAAGCCCUGGGUUAAUACCCUGGGGUCAUGACGGUACCGUAAGAAUAAGCACCGGCUAACUACGUGCCAGCCGCCGCCGUAA